GCUUGUCUCAAAGAUUAAGCCAUGCAUGUCUAAGUAUAAACAACUUUGUACUGUGAAACUGCGAAUGGCUCAUUAUAUCAGUUAUAGUCUACUCGAUAGUACCUUACUACUUGGAUAACCGUAGUAAUUCUAGAGCUAAUACAUGCGUAAAUACCCAACUGCUUGUCGGACGGGUAGCAUUUAUUAGAUUGAAACCAAUGCAGCUUCGGCUGGUAUUGUGUUGAGUCAUAAUAACUGUGCGGAUCGCAUGGCCUUGCGCCGGCGACGCUUCAUUCAAAUUUCUGCCCUAUCAACUUUCGAUGGUAAGAUAGAGGCUUACCAUGGUGUUAACGGGUAACGGGGAAUUGGGGUUCGAUUCCGGAGAGGGAGCCUGAGAAAUGGCUACCACUUCCAAGGAAGGCAGCAGG
rnacentral:rRNA from 1 species